rnacentral:rRNA from 1 species
GAUGAACGCUGGCGGCGUGCUUAACACAUGCAAGUCGAACGCUGAAGCGUGGUGCUUGCACUGGGUGGAUGAGUGGCGAACGGGUGAGUAACACGUGAGUAACCUGCCCUUGACUUCGGGAUAAGCCCGGGAAACUGGGUCUAAUACUGGAUAUGACUUCCUACCGCAUGGUGGGGGGUGGAAAGAUUUAUCGGUUGGGGAUGGACUCGCGGCCUAUCAGUUUGUUGGUGGGGUAAUGGCCUACCAAGACGUCGACGGGUAGCCGGCCUGAGAGGGUGACCGGCCACACUGGGACUGAGACACGGCCCAGACUCCUACGGGAGGCAGCAGUGGGGAAUAUUGCACAAUGGGCGCAAGCCUGAUGCAGCGACGCCGCGUGAGGGAUGACGGCCUUCGGGUUGUAAACCUCUUUCAGUAGGGAAGCAGCCCUUUUAGGGUGACGGUACCUGCAGAAGAAGCGCCGGCUAACUACGUGCCAGCAGCCGCGGUAAUACGUAGGGCGCAAGCGUUAUCCGGAAUUAUUGGGCGUAAAGAGCUCGUAGGCGGUUUGUCGCGUCUGCUGUGAAAGCCCGGGGCUUAACUCCGGGUGUGCAGUGGGUACGGGCAGGCUAGAGUGCAGUAGGGGAGACUGGAAUUUCUGGUGUAGCGGUGGAAUGCGCAGAUAUCAGGAGGAACACCGAUGGCGAAGGCAGGUCUCUGGGCUGUUACUGACGCUGAGGAGCGAAAGCAUGGGGAGCGAACAGG